AUUGAACGCUGGCGGCAUGCCUUACACAUGCAAGUCGAACGGUAACAGGUCUUCGGAUGCUGACGAGUGGCGAACGGGUGAGUAAUAUAUCGGAACGUGCCCAGUCGUGGGGGAUAACGCAGCGAAAGCUGUGCUAAUACCGCAUACGAUCUAUGGAUGAAAGCGGGGGAUCGCAAGACCUUGCGCUGAUUGAGCGGCCGAUGUCAGAUUAGCUAGUUGGUGAGGUAAAGGCUCACCAAGGCGACGAUCUGUAGCUGGUCUGAGAGGACGACCAGCCACACUGGGACUGAGACACGGCCCAGACUCCUACGGGAGGCAGCAGUGGGGAAUUUUGGACAAUGGGGGAAACCCUGAUCCAGCCAUGCCGCGUGCAGGAUGAAGGCCUUCGGGUUGUAAACUGCUUUUGUACGGAACGAAAAGGUCCUUUCUAAUAAAGAGGGCUCAUGACGGUACCGUAAGAAUAAGCACCGGCUAACUACGUG
rnacentral:rRNA from 1 species